GUGUCCUUGGGCAAGACACUUUACCCACCUUCUCCCAGUGCCACCCACACUGGUUUAAAUGUAACUUAGAUAUUGGGUUUCACUAUGUAAAAGUGCUUUGAGUCACUAGAAAAAAGCACUAUAUAAAUAUAAUUCACUUCACUUCACUUCCAUACCUUGGGCACUAACACACCCCCAUACCAUCACAGAUGUUGUUGUUUUUUUUACUUUGUACCUAGAACAAUCCGGAUGGUUCUUUUACUCUUUGUUCUGGAGGACACAACAUCCAUAGUUUCCAAAAACAAUUUGAAAUGUGGACUCGUCAGACCACAGAACACUUUUACACUUUGCAUCAGUCCAUCUUAGAUGAGCUCGGGCACAGCGAAGCCAGCAGCGUUUCUGGGUGUUGUUGAUAAAUGGCUUUUGCCUUGCAUAGUAGAGUUUUAACUUGCACUUACAGAUGUAGCGACCAACUGUAGUUACUGACAGUGGUUUUCUGAAGUGUUCCCUGAGCCCACGUGGAUCACCAUGUCGGCUCAGGAACACUUCCUUUACACACUGAUAUCGCUUUUUGAUGCGGUACCGCCUGAGGGAUCCAAGAUCAAUGGGCAUUCAAUGUUACGUGCAGUGAUUUCUCCAGAUUCUCUGAACCUUUUGAUGAUAUUACGUACCGUAGAUGGUAAAAUCCCUAAAUUCCAUGCAAUAGCUCGUUGAGAAAUGUUGUUCUUAAUCUGUUGGACAAUUUGUUUAGGCAUUUGUUCAAAAAGUGAUGACGCAUGCCCAAUCCUUGUUUGUGAAUGACUGAGCAUUUCGUGGAAGCUGCUUUUAUACCAAAUCAUGGCACCCACCUGUUACCAAUUAGCCUGUUCACCUGUGAAUGUUCCAAAUAGGUGUAACUUUUUCCGUCUUGUUUGCAACGUGUGCCAGCUUUUUUGAAACAUGUUGCAGGCAUCAAAUUCCAAAUGAGCUAAUAUUUGCAAAAAAUAACAAAGUUUGCCAGUUUUUGUUGUUGAAAGGGAUUUGCAAAUCAUUGUAUUCUGUUUUUAUUUACGAUUUACACAACGUGCCAACUUCACUGGUUUUGGGUGUUGUACUUCGUUCAUAUUAUCAUGUAUUACAUUUCUAACUGAGAUGUAUUUAGGAUAAUCCUUCUUAGCAUCAUUUUUUAAUUUACUUAAGCCAGCGACAGGAACCCCAGAGCCAGGCCCACCGCGUCGCCCGUAAGAGCCAGCAGCAGGCCGCAGACAGACGCACCCGGCAGAGGACAAAGCACGAGAAAAGCAGGGGACAGCCAGACCCCAAGCCAGCGAGAGACCACACCCCACGCAGGCAGAAAGGCGGGACGCCCCGCUCGGGGGGUCCAGAGACUCCCCGCAACCGGACAGUAAGACCGACCCCGCCCCACCGGAAACCGGGCCCCCACGAGCCCACCCCCCACCCCCGGUGAGCGCGGCGAAGCCCGCCCCCGGCCACCCCACCCAAAUCGGCCACCGCAGGACCACCCAGCACGGGGCCACGGGAACCACCCACCCCACCCGCAGGGACCCCAACGAUGGAGAUGGAACAACCGCCCUGUCGGGAGGGGAAAAUAAAAAAAUAAUAUUAAUAAAAUAAAUUUUAAAAAUAAUAAAACAAAUAAAUAGUAAUACUCGUAAUUAUCAUUAUUAUAUAUAUUAAAACAUUUUAAAAAAUACAAAAAAAAAAGAAUUAAAAGAAGAUCACGGACAUGCUGACACACAAGGUCAAUACCCAAGCAGCUGGCCGACUCGCAGCACCUCGGAAUACCUUGCAGCACCAAGCUACCACAAUAGACGCAGGGACUAGACCCAGCAGGCCCCAACCAAGACGGGCACCCGGAAGGGAUGGACGGUGGGACCCAGGAGCUCCAGACAUGCAGUCCAGAUGCAGUAGCCUGAGGCGCCGACCCCCGCCUGACAAGCAGGCCCAGAGCGUACCCCCAGAAAUAUACAUACAUACAUAUAUACAUAUACAUACACAUACAUAUGUAUGUGUACACAUACACAUAUAUUUACACACAUACAUACAUAUAUAUACACAUACAUACAUAUACACAUAUACAGUAUAUACAUACAUACAUAUAUACAUACAUAUAUACUAUACUCAUACAUGCACACACAUAUACAUACAUACACAUACACACCUACAUCGGACAAGCCAACCAACAAGACAAUAAACAAGUAAGAGGCCGGCAAGUUCGUCAGCCCCGACAACCACCACGUGCGCACGCUGCCACCAGUCACAACAUCAGCCACCCCCUGCACCAGACCCAGCAGCCACUGGCGCCCACGCCACAAACAAACGGCAGCAGAAACAGCAGCUGCAAUACCCCCAGACAGCCAGCACCACCCAAUCAAAUCAAAGCGAUCGAAAAAACUGCGACCGUCAACCACACGCCAACAGGAUCACGGAGACAAGACAGGAGGACUGGAGCCCCAUAGGAGGCAUCCUCAUUCCCCCGCCAUGCCUCCCCACAGGACAAACCCCAAAAGUCUUAUAUAUGUGUGACUGUGUGUGCUAUAAGUAGGAGGAGUAGAGAGUCUCUUGCUUCUGGACCCCCAUUCAGUUUGGUGCUCAAAGUUCCCUGAAUUUUGCCCUGUUUCCUUAGUCACGUGCUUUCUUGGCGAUUUCAGCAUUGCCUGUGUCAGCAAUGGCAUUUUGGAUUUCCUGUUGGCAAGCUUAAAGAUGUUGACUGGCAUGGUGUUGUUGCCUCUUCUAUUCAGUGAAAAGCACGCAUCAAUGGUGUUAAUAUCGACAUCAAUUCCCUUUGAUUGCAGAAAGUUGAGCAUUUGUUGCUUUGUUGAAGCAGCGUCCAUGUCGUGUGGUUCUCCUCUGUAGUCAACUGCUCUUGCAUAGGAUCGAGGAUUAAUACGUAGCCCUACAGUGAUAAUGUACAGUUUCCUCUUUGAUGUUUUCCAAAACACUGAUUUUCUCCAGAUUGGUGAUAUCUUGUUGUCUGGCAUUGAGCUGUUGUCUCAAUGCAGCCAUCUUCUCCCUGAAGUUAUUUAAAUCAGUGUUAUUUAGUUGCAUCUGUUGGCACAUGCUUCUAUCUCCAUUUUGAUGUUCUACACAACACUGCUGUGGUCCCAAUGGGUGUUGUCUUGCUGCUUGGCAUUCGACUGUUGGCACAAUGUGGCAUUCUCCUCUUUUGUUUUCUCCACCUCCUUUUUAAUGCUGUGGUGUCUUCACCGAGAAUCUUAAUUUCUUCUUUGGAUUUUCUAAAUUUCAUCAUAUCAUUAUGAGAUUAUUUUCUGUAUUUGACCAUCUGUUCUUGGAGAUCUGCAACAUCUUUUUGUACACCUGUUCCUGGAUAUUGUUGACAUUGCUUUGUGUCUCAUUUACAUUGUUUUGUAGAGUUCUUAUUAACACUUUCAAGUCCGGUUCACGUCUGGUAACGCUGUAUUGCUUUGUUUUCGUGCUCAUGGUUGUUUGGCAGCGUAGUGAAGUCGUUGGUGUUGUCAGUUUCCGCAGCAAGUGGCAGCUCUAUGGUUUUAUUUCACACACUUUUCAUUGGCCAGAACUGCAUCAGCCUUUUUUUGGAGCCUUGAAUGGGUCAAUAAUUCUGAACAACAUUGAUUUUGAUACAUAAUUAUGGUUUGAGCAUUGACCGUUUUAAAUAAAAGACAACACUUCCUGUCAAUGAGAAAGGACGCAAAAGAAAAAGGCUCCGCUUCUGCUACCGGAGUUUUGUUAAGUCUGAAGAUUUUGACCACUGAUUUGUGAUCACAGCCACAGGAGAGUCACCUGGCAUCUUCGAUCUGAUAUUGGUCAGUUGAGAGGCACAGAUACGCUGAAAUAAGGCGAGUUGGAAGAGCCGUUAGCCUCAAGCCAACGGCGCCUUGCCGCAGUUCAAAGCGGUUGCCUGGCAACCAAAAGCUACGGCGAGUUUACAGCUGUUUUAAACUGAUUCCGACGUCGCAGAGUGAUAAAAGUUGACAGGCUGACACCCAAAAUUGAUCUCUGAACGGCGCAAGGUACGAAAUUGUUGAAAAAACAAGUUAAAAGUACCGCAAGUUGCUAAAGAAGUAACUGCCGUUAAGACAUAAGAGGCACUGACGUCAUCGACUGCCGCGAUGCGAAAAGCUAAAGGAAAGACUGAACAAGAUUUGAGGCUGGACACAGGACAUGAUGGGAAUCAAGAAGGGAUACAAAAAAGUAUCCAUGAUUUUAAAGAAGAAAUGUUAGAAAAAUUGAACUACAUGAUGGAGGGAUGGAAAGAAGAAAUGAAAGAAAUGAAAGAAGAACACAGACGAGAUGUGAAAAGUCUGCAGCAAAAUAUAGAAAGUCUGCAAUCUCACAAAAACAUCAGAAAUAAUGAAGCCACUGAAAUGGGCAAACAAAUAAAGAUCCUUCAAGAAGACAACAACAUGCUGAGGAAUAUCAUAGAUGAAAUGGAUCAGGAUAAACGGAUGAAUGAUAUCAUCGUGACAGGGCACCGAAUUAAACCAAGAUCCUAUGCGAAAGCUGUGAAUAAUGAAGGUGAACCAGAUGAAAUGGAUAUGAUCUCAGCAGAACAGCAAGUGGUCAACUUUCUGCAAUCAAAAGAAAUUGAAAUUGACAUCAAUACCAUCGAAACAUGCAUCCCACUGAACGGAAGAAACAACAACGCCACUCCAGUCGUGCUCGUGAAACUUGUAAACAGAAAAUCUAAAAUGGCAUUGCUGAGACAGGGAAAGAAGCUGAAGGGAACAAAUGUGUACAUGAAUGAGCAUCUCACAAAACGUAAUGCUGGAAUCGCCAAGAAAGCACGCGACUUGAGAAAGGAGGGAAAAAUCCAGGGAAUUUGGAGCGCCAACUGUAAAAUCUACAUCAAGCUGAAUGGAGGUCCAGAAGCAAGAGAACUUGCUGUCCAUGACAUCAAGGACCUGGACAAUUUUUAAAGUUUACACAGCUUCCACAACAACGAUGAUAAUGGACUCUGACAGAAAACAAGCACCUAAAUUCAGCAUCAACACUGCUAUGUUCCAAGGGACGACUAAACAAGAGGACCUAGAUUCAGGAUUGCAUCCACCUACACUUAUAGAGAUUAUUGAAACAACAUCAAAGAUUGUUGAACAAGAAAACAUGGAACUAAAAAAUUUCUGCAACAAAGAUCACAAAAACCAGGAUUUGGAAAAUGAUAUAGAUCCAGAUACACAUUUUUUCUCCCACUUCAGUAAUUGUUUUUAUUAUACGGAUGAUCAAUAUAACAGCAACAUUAAAUGUGAUAACAAAUUGUCAAUUAUUCAUUUUAAUAGCAGAAGCUUGUAUGCAAACUACAACAAUAUUAAGAACUUUUUGGAACACAUCAAUGAACCCUUCAAAGUGAUUGCUGUCACGGAAACAUGGAUUGAUGAUAAAAAAGGAAUAGAUUUUGAUCUGGAUGGAUAUGAACUAAACUACAUCAACAGAAACAACAAAAAUGGAGGAGGAGCUGUGUACGUGAUGAAGAACCUGAACUACAAAGUGGUAAAAAACAUGUCAUUUGCUAUAGAUAAUAUCUUAGAAUGUAUAACAAUUGAAAUAUGUCAGGAAAAAAGCAAAAACAUAUUCAUCAGUUGUAUAUAUAGAUCACCUAAGUCAAGUAUAGAAACAUUUGAAGAAUGGAUCAAGGCUACUUACAUGGACAAUGGUCAAAGAAUAAUUUUCUUAUGUGGUGACUUUAAUAUUGACUUAUUGAACCCUAACAAGCAAAAGUCUAUUGACGACUUCAUUGAUACAAUGUACAGCAUCAGUUUAUAUCCUAAAAUCACAAAGCCAAGCAGAAUUACAGGACACUGUGCCACGCUUAUUGAUAAUAUUUUUACCAAUGAUUUUGAUAAUAACACUACAAGUGGUCUACUUAUAACCGAUGUUAGUGAUCAUCUGCCAGUUUUUACAAUAUAUAAUGGAAACUACAAGAAGAACAUGGAAGACAAAAGGACAUUUCGAAGACUGUGCACAGAGAAGAGGAUGAUUGCUUUCAAAAUUGAGCUACAAAAGCAGGAUUGGGACAAUGUGUACAAUGAAAAUGAGGUUGAUGAAGCAUAUGAACAUUUCUUAAACAAGUUCAUAAUACUUUAUAACAAACAUUGUCCAUGGAUACAACUCAGUAAUAAGCAGAGAAAGAAUAAUCAACCAUGGAUGACAAAAGGAUUAAAAAAUGCUUGUAAGAAGAAGAAUACACUAUAUAGGAAAUUUAUAGCACAAAGAACUACAGAGGCAGAAAUUAAGUACAAAAAGUAUAAAAACAAGUUAACAUACAUACUACGAUUAUGUAGAAAAGAAUAUUACAGUGAAUUAUUGGACAAGAACAAAACUAAUAUGAGAGCAACAUGGGGCAUCCUCAAUAGCAUUAUUAAAAAUGGCACUAAGAGGGACUACCCUCAAUACUUCUUAGACGGAAAUAAAAAAAAAUGACAACAUAAAGGAAGUAGUUGAAAGCUUCAAUAAUUAUUUUGUAAAUAUUGGACCAAAAUUGGAAGAAAGGAUUCCAGACCCAGUUUCAAUUGAGGACUAUAAUGAUACCAUAGAGCGAAAUCCCAACUCCAUGUUCCUCAGUAAUGUGACGCAGGAGGAAAUAGUUACAAUUGUGAAAAAAUGUAAAUCUAAGACUUCAACUGAUUGUAAUGAAAUUGAUAUGGAAACGAUAAAAAAGGUUAUUGAAGAGAUCUCAGGACCAUUAAUGUAUAUUAGUAACCUAUCUUUUCAAACAGGUACAUUUCCAAACAAAAUGAAAAUAGCUAAAGUUGCACCAAUUUACAAGACUGGCGACAAACAUCAAUUUACAAAUUAUAGACCUGUUUCCUUACUUCCACAAUUUUCUAAAAUCAUUGAAAAACUGUUCAAUAACAGAUUAGAGAGUUUCAUAAAUACAAAUAGAAUACUCGAAGAAAAUCAAUAUGGAUACAGAGCUAAUGUUUCAACUUCGAUGGCUUUAAUUGAAAUUACAGAAGAAAUGACCAAUGCUAUAGAUAAUAAAAAAUGUGCGGCAGCAGUUUUUAUGGAUCUAACUAAAGCAGUUGACACAAUUAAUCACAAUAUUUUAAUCAAAAAACUAGAACGAUAUGGCAUCAGAGGGUUAGUCUUAAACUGGAUAAGAAGUUAUCUAAUGAGCAGGAAACAAUACGUGAAGGUAGGCGAACACACCUCUACAACGCUAAAUAUAUCCUGUGGUGUACCGGACGGCGUGGCGCAGUGGAAGAAUGGCCGUGCGCGACCCGAGGGUCCCUGGUUCAAUCCCCACCUAGUACCAACCUCGUCAUGUCCGUUGUGUCCUGAGCAAGACACUUCACCCUUGCUCCUGAUGGGUGCUGGUUAGCGCCUUGCAUGGCAGCUCCCUCCAUCAGUGUGUGAAUGUGUGUGUGAAUGGGUAAAUGUGGAAGUAGUGUCAAAGCGCUUUGAGUACCUUGAAGGUAGAAAAGCGCUAUACAAGUACAACCCAUUUAUCAUUUAUCAUUUACCUCAGGGAUCAAUACUAGGACCUAAAUUAUUCAAUCUAUAUAUAAAUGACAUUUGUAAAGUUAUUAUUUGCGGAUGAUACAACAGCGUUUUGUUCAGGAGAGAACACACAGAAGAUACUAUAAAUAAUAACAGAAGAAAUUAACAAAUUAAAAAGAUGGUUUGACAAAAACAGACUAUCGUUGAAUCUCAGUAAAACUAAAAUAAUGCUAUUUGGUAACAGUAGAAGAGAAAGUCAAACACAAAUACAAAUAGACGGAAUAGAAAUUGAAAGAGUAAAUGAAACCAAAUUUCUUGGUAUAAUGAUUGAUGAUAAAUUGAACUGGAAAUCUCACGUAAAAAAUAUACAACAUAAAGUAGCAAGAAACACGUCAAUAAUGAAUAAAGCAAAACAUGUUCUAGACAAAAAAUCACUUCAUAUUCUCUACUGCUCACUAGUGUUACCAUAUCUGAGUUAUUGUGCAGAAAUAUGGGGAAAUAACUACAAAAGUACACUUCAUUCAUUAACGGUGUUACAAAAAAGAUCAGUUAGAAUAAUACAUAAUGUUGGAUAUAGAGAACACACAAAUCCUUUAUUUAUUGAAUCAAAGAUACUGAAAUUCUACGACAUAGUGAAUUUGCAAACAGCUAAAAUUAUACACAAAGCAAACUAUAACCUGCUACCCAAGAAUAUACAACAAUUCUUCUCAAAAAAAGAGGAGAAAUAUAAUCUUAGGGAGAAAUGUAAUUUAAAACAUUUGUAUGCACGUACAACACUUAAGACCUUCAGUAUAUCAGUAUGUGGAAUUAAAUUAUGGAAUGGAUUAAGCAAAGCAAUCAAACAAUGUACUAAUAUGAUCCACUUCAAGAAACUCUUCAAACUUAAAGUGUUUACAAAGUACAAAGAAGAAGAACCAUGAUAAACAUUCUGAAUUUAUUUAACUCAUCCAUUCUUUCAUUCUUUCACUCACAAAAUAAUCUUACUUAUCUCAACAUAUGAAAUGUAACUUACUUCACCAAUUAUCAUUUAUUUACUUAUUUUAUUGUGAUUACUUAUGGAGUAUAUUGUGAAUAAAUUGAGAACAGGAAGUGAACAAAAGUUUUAGCAACUGUUAUGUAAAAGAAAAGGGGUAGGAUUAAAUACGCUCUGCUUCUUCCUACUCCUUUUCGAACAUGUUGAAAAGAGAAACUGGAGAUUGUGAUGUAUCAUGUUGUAUACUUGCAUGUUCGAAAUAAACUCAAACUCAACUCAACUCAACAAUAUAAGACCCUUAAGAAUCCCACUCAUAAAAGUGUUCAUAGUAAUUUGUAGAAUUAAUUUUUCUUACUUUUAACGCUUAAAUCUUUAAACUUCAGAUCUGACUGUUGAUAUCACAUUUUUGUUAUUGGUUUCUGUUUUUGUAUGUUUAUUGUCCUUUUUGACCAAGAAAAUUAUUUUUGCAUGGCAUAAACCAAAAUUAUGCAAUAUUUUCCCUCCAAAAACUCAAGAGUCAAAUAUUUGAUCUGAAGUAGUUGGAGCCUUGAAUAAGUCAAUAAUUCACAACAUUAUUUUUGAUUCAUAAUGACUGUUUGAAUUAUGAAUCAAUUGUACACUGUUAAAAAGAAGAAAACAACAACAACAUUGUAAGACCUUUGGACCAUUGAGGGUCCUUCUCAUGAAAGUGUUAAAAGUAAGUCAUACAUUCAUUACUUUCUUUUACUUUGAACAUUUAAAUCUCUAGAUCAAUCUCAGAUCUAUCGGUUGAUAUUACAUUUUUGUUAAUGUUUAUGUUUUUGUAUGUUGUAUUCCCUUUUUUGCAAAAGAAAACCCCUUUUUUGUACAGCAACCCCCCCCCCCCACACACACACAAAAAUUAAAAAAAUUCAAUGCUAAAAGUUUAAUAUUUGCUGUGAAGUAAUUAGAGCCUUAAAUAGGUCAGUAAUUAACAACAACAGUGAUUUUGAUUCAUAAUAACUGUUUGAGCAGUGAUUGUUUUUAAUGAAUAACAUAGGACACUUGGAUCCUUGAGGGUCUCACUCAUAAAAGUGUUGAAAGUAAGUCACAUAUUAAUAUUAUUUUUACUUUGAACACUUGAAUCAAUCGAUCAACUUUAGAUCCAUCCGUUGAUAUUACAUUUGUGUUAUUUUUUUGUUUUUCUAUGCACUUUUUGUCAAAGAAACAUUUUUUUUUUAAUACAGCAAAAUAUACAAUGUCCUCCCCAGCCCCAACAUUUUCAAAAUGAACCAUUCAAUAUGAGGUAAUUGAAUCCAUGAAUAGGUCAAUCAUUAAUAACAUCGAUUUUGAUGUGAUUAAAAUGUAUCAAUAACAAUAUCACUAACAAUAACAGCGUAUUAAUAACAAUAACACUACAGCACAACAAUUUAUCAAUAACAAUAUCUACACAAUUCCAUUAACAAUAUCAAUGUAAAAAAAAAAUACAAUGGAACAGUAACAAUAGAACAAUACCAAUAACAACAAUAAUAAUAACAAUAAGGUAUAACACAAACUCAUUGAAAGACCACAGUCUUUUUUUGGUCACUACACAAUUUGCACUGUUUACUCCUCCAAGAGGGCCUAGGCUGGGGUUGCUGCGGCUGUUCUCCCCUCUUUUGACCUGCAGCCCCGCUUAGAGGAACAACUGGGAGGCUAACUGUAUGACAGGCAGGCGGGUCUUUGUGGCCUUUGCUGGCGCAAAGACGGCUCUGUAACAGGAAAUGUCCACCAAGAGUAUGGGGCCACUUGCGGUACCUCCUCCCGCAGGAGUAGUUGGGACAAACCUGCAAAAAAGAUUAGAUGACAUCAGAUUACAUCAUAGACAAACGUUCUUUUAUAAAAUAUAACAAACUAUAAUAAUGUUUGAAAAAAAAAAAUCGACGUCCCACUGGGGUGAGUUUUUCCUUGCCCUUAUGUGGGCUUUGUACCGAGGAUGUCGUUGUGGCUUGUGCAGCCCUUUGAGACACUUGUGAUUUAGGGCUAUAUAAAUAAAGAUUGAUUGAUUGAUUGAUAAUGUUCAUUGUCAUUUCUGUGUUAUUAAUAUUUACAAAAACAAAUAUUUACUUCACUAACUGCUACGUUUUGUAUUAUAGUUGUACAUAUCGUAUUGCUGAUGCUGUUUUGUUGUUGUUGUCUCUCUGUCUUAUCCCCCUCUCGUCCCCACAACUUCCCCCUCUGUCUUCCUUUUUGUCUCUUUCUAUCCCCUCCUGCUACGGUCCGGCUGCGCCAAACAUUAGUAUAAAUCCAUUUACUAAAGUCAAACAUAAAUAAGACAACAAGAGAAAUAUCCCACAAUUCUAUUUUGUAAAGUAAAUAUGUACAGCAAAUAUGGACAUCUACAUCAACAAUAUGAUUUGCCUAAGGAGCUGGGCAGGACAAAAAUAAAAAUAAACAAUGACAAACUCAAAAACAAAGACAAUUCUAGUUAUUUUAAAUAGUCAUAAUAAGUGACAGCAUUGUGUGCAAUACCAAAAUGUAAAUAUGAAUGCCAAAUGUGAAUUAUACCCAAAUGUAUGCAAAAUUGUGCUUACCUGGUCGAAAGUUUCUUUCCCCAGGAUCUUGAACCUCUGGUUUUAUGAGUCAGGCUGCUGCCAUGGUGGAAUGGCUGGAAACUUUGCAGCCAAAUUGCAAACUUCAAACAAGCAUUAAAAAACAAACACUCAGCCACACCACCAAUGGGAGAAGAGAAGGGCUAAUUAGACUGUCUCUUAUUGGUUGCGUGGCAAAACCUGUUUUUGUAAAGCUGCAGCAGAGUCUGGACUUGGUUGAUUUGAUCUAGUUUCAGACAUGUAUACACAAAUUAUGUUGCAGCCUUGCACAUACGACGUCUGCAGAUAAAAGCCAGACUUUUUGUAUAUAGCUCAAAUGUGUCAUUGCACGUAUUUGGAUCUUAGUAAAUCAGAUCCUUAGUGUUUGACGCAUCCAAACCGUAGCAGGAGGGGAUAGAAAGAAGAAGAUAAAAAAGAAGACGGUGGUGGAAAUUGUGGCGUAAAGAGGGGAACAAGACAGGGAGCGACCACAACAACAAAAAACAAAAUCAACAACAGACCUAAAUCAGCAAAUACAAUACCGUAUUUUUUGGAUUAUAAGUCGCAGUUUUUUUCAUAGGUUGGCCGUGGGUACGACAUAUACUCCGGAGCGACUUAUGUGUGAAAUUAUUAACACAUUACCAUAAAAUAUAAAAUAAUAUUAUUUAUCUCAUUCGCGUAAGAGACGAAGCAAAUGGCAGAAAUCGUCACACACACAUCAGCAAUCAUCACUCACACGUCAAACAAUACGAAUUUGGCGGGGGAGGGUCAUGGCAGAAGUGCAUUGUGGGUCAUGAGAUGCUAACUGCUAUGCUAUAUGCUACUGCCGUAACUAUUAAAAUGGAUCACAUCAACAUUGGCGGUAACUUAUAAAAACUGAGAAAGGCUGAACUAAAAUGGCACCGAAAAGGAAAUCAUAUACUGCAGAUUACAAGCUGGACGUAGUGAAAUAUGCUGCAGAGAACGGCGAUCGAGCAGCAAAAAGAAAGGACAUACCAGAGGUGACACCUCUGGUAUGUCAUUGGAUUUAGCGAUCGGGAGUGACAGAUUGUUUGGUAAACGUAUAGCAUGUUCUAUAUGUUAUAGUUAUUUGAAUGACUCUUGCAAUGAUGUGUUGCGUUACCAGGCACGUUCUCAGUUGGUUAUUUGUGCGUCAUAUGGCGUACACUUAUUCAGCCUGUUGUUCACUAUUCUUUAUUUAUUUUAAAUUGACUUUCAAAUGUCUAUUCUUGGUGUUGGAUAUUAUCAAAUAAAUUUCCCCCAAAAAUGCGACAUAUACUGUAUAUGUUUUUUUCCUUCUUUUUUGUGCAUUUUCGGCCGGUGCGACGUAUACUCCGGAGCGACUUAUAGUCCGAAAAAUACGGUAUAUACAAAUAUGAUACCAGAAAUGAUAAAGAAAAGCAAAUUAGUGAAGGAAAUAGUAAUAACACAGUAUUGACAAAUGAACAUUAUUGCCCUACAAUUGAAACAAUAUGUAUUAAUACCAAUAGAAAUAACAACAUUAAUAAUGAAUAACAAUAUUUACCUCUAUUAUCAAGAUUACGAUUGCUUCAAAUGCAACAAUAUUUGCUCAUAGAGCUUCUAUAUGAGUACUCCUAUUUUUUCACAUAGUCCAAAGGCCCAGGUUAAUUUGAGGCUAAAAGAAAAAAAGCUCCAUCGUUGUGCAUAGUUUUCCAUCUAAAUAUGUCAACCUGCUCUAACUGGUGAUUAGCUGUGAUCUUCUGUCAUUAGUAACCUGUAGCCCGCCUCUCACCCUAAGUCAAUGUGUUAAAUGUGUCUCAAUUGCCCAUGUAGAGUAUAAUGUGGUUCCUCUUACAACUAUACACUGGCUAUUAUUUCUGCACUCUGCUGUAGAGAACAGAGAUGGUGAUAUGUUACACAUUACUUGCGUGAGCCUACCCCCUUGCCUUCAGGUUCAUUUGGGAAAUGUUGCGGACAAUCUGUCACUGCCGCUUACUCUCUCGCCGCUGCUUGCUGUACACGCGUGAUGCACACAGUGUUUUUUCCAGUCUCACAACACUGCAGAGUGGUGAUUUGUGUGCAUUAGCAAAGAUGUAGGCAUUGAGUGUAGUGCUCGCUAACGCUUCCAGCUAAUGAUGGCGUCCAUAACACCUGUAAUUUUCCCCUUCAAUGGACGUUUUAGACACAGUUGGUGUGCAUUGUACUGACUGUAGUUUUUAAAACUUAUUUCAAUCUUGAUUGCGCUACAUCAGCUCGAUAAAAGUGGCAAAAUAUAGUACAGUGCAUGAAAACAAGGCAUAUUUUUGAUAAAGGUUUUUGCCUGUAACCAGGGCAUAUGAAAACUGAGGUACCACUGAAUUCUUUUUUUCCAAAUAGUGCCUUUUUAGAUGUCUUCUUGUGCAGCUAAUUGCAGAGGGUAAGUGUACAUGCUACAGUCAAUCAAGGCUACAACAUUGCCACAUAUAGCUCAGCAGAAAUUCUCCCCAGAACCUUUAGUCCGUUUAUAUACACAAAGUGAUUGAGCUACUCCUAAAAAAGGACAAUUAUAUUCUUCAUUAUCUACAACAAUUACGGGGGUAAUUUAAAUAAAGAACAAUUGUAUUCUUCAUUAUCUACAACAAUUACAGGGGUAAUUUAAAUAAGUCAGCUAUCUGUUGUUAACUCUCGCUCGGCAUUUGAGACCAAUGUUGUGGUCAGUAUGCCAAGAUAGUAGGGCUGCGAAUCUUUGGGUGUCCCAUGAUUUGAUUCAAUAUCGAUUCUUGGGGUCACAAUUCGAUUCAAAAUCGAUUUUUGUCGAUUCAACGCGAUUCUCAAUUCAAAAACGAUAUUUUCCCUAUUCAAAAUUAUUCUCUAUUCAUUCAAUACAUAGGAUUUCAGCAGGAUCUACCCCAGUCUGCUGACAUGCAAGCAGAGUAGUAGAUUUUUGUAAAAAGCUUUUAAUCAUUUUAAAGGACAAUGUUUUAUCAACUGAUUGCAAUAAUGUAAAUUUGUUUUAACUAUUAAAUGAACCAAAAAUAUGACUUAUUUUAUCUUUGUGAAAAUAUUGGACUCAGUGUGUUGUCAAGCUUAUGAGAUGCGAUGCAAGUGUAAGCCACUGUGACACUAUUGUUCAUUUUUGUUAUUUUUUAUAAAUGUCUUAAGAUAAUGUCAAUGGGGGAUUUUUAGUCACUGCUAUGUUGAAAUUGUAACUAAUAUUGAUACUGUUGUUGAUAAUAUUGAUUUUUGUUUCACUACUUUUGGCUUGUUCUGUGUCGUGUUUGUGUCUCCUCUCAAUUGCUCUGUUUAUUGCAGUUCUGAGUGUUGCUGGGUCGGGUUUGGUUUUGGAAUUGGAUUGCAUUGUUAUGGUAUUGCUGUGUAUUGUUUUGUUGGAUUGAUAAAUAAACAUUAAAAAAAAAAAAUUAAAAAUAAAUAAAUAAAUAAAAGAAAAAAAGAUAGAUUUAAAAAAAAUGAGAAUCGAUUCUGAAUCACACAACGUGAGAAUCGCGAUUCGAAUUUGAAUCGAUUUUUUCCCACACCCCUACAAGAUAGGCACUAUGUACGUAAAUUGCAAAAUUCUACCAAUAAUUUUAAAGUGUGGUGGUUGGACUUGAACUUGAGUACAGCAGCCAUGUUUUGAAGGAUUAGAUGCAUAUUUUGGAUUAUUAAGAAUACGUAAUGAAAUAUUUUAGUGCAAAAUAAUGAAAAAGUAAUGAAGGAAAUACUAUUAAAGGAAACACAUGUAGUGUAUUCGCUAUUUUUUUCUGGCUGGACGAGUGUCAAAAAGAGUUAUUUAUCCGUAUUUCACAUCAAGAUUGUGAUACGUACUGAGAGGUGUGCUGUAUCUGGUAAGGCAACUACGUUUGUUAUUCAGUUUCAUAUGAAGCACCCAUUUAUUAAUAGACAUUUCACAAGCUAUAGUUUCUUUUCAACAGGGAAAAGCAUUAGAAAAUGGAUAGCAGUGCAUGGUAAAAAAAAAAAAAAAACUCUUGAUGGCCAGUCCACCCCUAUAAUCUGCUCUCUUCCUGGUCCGAUAUUAUGUACUGUACUGUACUCAACCUGUAAUCUUGCAAAAGCAGUGUUUCGAAAAGAUUAUGAUCUCAUUCACCAGUUUAACAGCAACGCAGCAACUGUUAUCAAACUAUUUCUAUUUCAAAUAUCUUCUCUCUUUGCUGUGAAUAAUCGCGACCCUUUUUUGUUUCACAUCUGACAGCUCAUUGGUCAAGAUGCUCAAGAAGGCAGUGCCAGAAAGUCAAUCAAUGAGCUUGUGUUUGGUCUACUCUAAAGGGACAUACUUCAAUCUGAGCGGCAGGUUUUUGUUAUUGUGUCUGUGCAAAUAUGCUUGUUAUUUCAUAGUUUAUUUUAGAUCCAAUUAUUCAAUUAGAUCAUCUUGACUGGCUCUAUACCAAAUUGUUGUAUAGAAAAGUAAGGCAACACAAACAAUUGAAUAAGUGAGUCUCUAGCCGCCGCACGCAGCCAUCUUGACUGUAAUGAAGUCAAAAACAGAAAAUAAACCACUUUUUGUUUGUUUACAAUUUCUUCAUUGUUCUUUUUGCAAUAAAAUAUAUCCAUAGAUAGGGCCAAACUGUUGGUUAUGUGUAUAGUGUACCUAAUAUCUCAGUGCACUCUGAAAAUAAAUAUUGAGUGUUUGGUUUGCGACUUGUUGUGUUGUUUUACAGUCAAUAUGUGUCCAUGUACUAAUUUAGUCCGAUUUGUCGAAUCCGAUCGUGUUUGGUUUUUGAAAAGUCAGACUAGUACACACGGAUUAUGCGAUUGGAAACUCUCGAAGGGUUGUGUGCGGCCAAAGAGGACCCUUCGUGUCGUGCAUUCGCCAGUCUCAACGCGCGGGAUACAACCCGGAACCAGAUACCAUUCGAUAGAAACAAAGCAACAAUUGUAAUGAAGAGGAGACUGAUUAUUUGCUUCACAAAUUAAAUGAACAGAACAUUCUGAAGUGCAUCGAUGGUAGAAAAAAAGAAACAGAUAUUUAUUUAUGAAGGUAGCUAUGAAUAUGCAAAAAUGCCGGUUUAAUUCGUACUCCCAAACAAAAGACGAAUGAGAUGAAAGAUAAUGAAGCAGGUAUAUUAAAGGUGAAUAGAAAAGGGUACACAAAGUUCUUCACGCUGCAUUUAUGAAUGCCAACUGAUUAACUCUCCGCACAAAUGGCAGGAUAGUCCAGAACAAUAGCAACCUUCCUUUGGAUAUCAGAGUGGGCACAAACAGUCUUUUCAUUUGGAUUUAAAACUCCUUCCAUCAGUCCACACAGCCUUUUGAAUGAACUUUGAGACAUUUGAAAGUUUUGUUUCUAUCAUUUUCUUCCAAAAAUUCCUUUGAAAAAAGUCUUCCGCUGCCUUUCUUUGCAUUUGACCCAAUAUAUUCUUAGUAGUAGCAUCAUGCCCGUAGCACAUUUUAAGCUAAUUUCUUGAUGCUGUCUGCUAUUAAGUUUAAGUUUAGUCAUUAGAGACGUAAUAUUUGUAAUCUGUGCCAAUAUUACAGCGGACAUUAGUUAAAACAAGUUGUAAUGAUCUGCAAAUCCUAGAGCGACGUCAUCGGUCAUCCGGAAAAAUAAUUCAGUUAUCCCGCUAAAAUGAAAUCAGUGCCCCCCAGUGUACAUGAUGCACAUGGCGUAUGUCCAAUAGUCGCAUUUGAAAGUGUGCAUGGACCUUUAGACUUCACACGUAGGUGUGAAAAUGAAAAAACUGAACUUUUUGAGAAAUCAGACUAAUUUAUUGCGUGAGUGAUGCUUGAUUUGCACGAAACGUUUGCACAUCAAUAAAGAAAAGUUCUUAAGUAGUUUUGUUUAUUUACACUAACAUAGCUCUCUGGUGCCCCAAUUGUUCACAGCCCACUUUCACAAAAGUCUUCUCUUCCGUUUCAGUAAAAAAGUUAACUCAAUAACAAAUUUUUGUGAUCUUCGGUCCAUCCCCUAAUGUGAGAAAAUGCAUCUGUGCUACAGUUUAUGUUGAGGCACAAGCGGGAAUAAAUAUCUGGACAGAAAAAAGGGUACACUGAAUGGCAAGCAAAGCUUCAAAGCUGAAGGUCGCUCUCCUGUCAAAACAAAAGCCAUUUCCAUCCACUAUCAGCUUUAGCUGUAGCAAAUUCCACACGCCAGCUGAUGCAGAGAGAACCCCAGCACCUGGACAAAGGAUGACCACAACAGAAUUGUAUCCCCUGCUGCUGCAGCCUUUUGCAUCCCACCAAACACCCACAUCCACCAUCAAACAUUUCAUGAAGGUCUGAGAAGGUACCCUGCAUCGCACAUGUGGUACAUGCUCCACUGCUCGGGUCCUAAUAACAAAAAUAACAUUAAAAAAAGAGCGAGGAAAAAAACACUUAAAGUGUGGGAAAAAUGGAAAUCGCACACAAAAGGUGUGGAGAAGAACAAGUAAACACUACACUGCAGCGCCGGACAGAGCUACAGGAACAAGGAGUGUGAGUGGAGCCAGAGCACAGGAGAUGAUUACGACUGGAAGGGUGAAACCUCAGGAAUCAACUGCCACCACAUAAAUUGCCUGGAGAGCUUAAGUAGUCAGGAGGAACUGGGUAUCAGGUGUGCACAAAGGUGGCUCCGCCCCGCAGCCCGAAAGCCAGGCACUGCAACAAAAAGCAGACAGGCGGCAAUGUUUUUCAGGAUGGAGAGAGUAGAAGUCGCGCAGAAGGGAUGGAUCAAGGAUACAGGAUCUGGAGACCCAUGAGCGUUUUUAGGGACCGUACCCUUACUAAGUUGGCCAGAUACUGAACGCCUAAACCUCGCCUUCUGGAGUCUAAAAUUGCCUUCACCUUAUAAGCUGGGUGACCACCGAUCAUACGCAGAGGAGGAGGAGGCGUACAGGAGGGAACAGCGGACAGACAAGUGGUUACCGGCUUGAGGUUGGAGACGCAAACCACUGGAUGUCGCUUGAUGGAUGGAGGCAGCUGGAGUUUGACCGCCGCAAGGCUAAUGAUCCUAGUGAUCUUGAAUGGCCCCACAAACCUGGGAGAAAUCUUCCUUAAGGAGCCAGCCAAUGUGCUUGGUAUUUGAGGACUCUCCCAACGGUGUGAGGGCAGCCCUGGCAGCGGGGAUGCAGGUUGUGAUGAUUCCAGACGAGAACCUGCACCCUGGUCUGACUCAAGAUGCAACACUAUGGCUGAGGAACAUGGAGG